UCCCUGCUCAUCUGGGUGCUACACAGGGCCAUAGCCCACUGGAGACACUGCAGCAGUGGGUGAAGUUGUACUGCAGGGACCUAGACCUUGAGACGCGACAGAAGGCAGCAGCCAUGGAGAGGAGGCUCCAGGCGGCUUCUUCAGGCUCAGGCAAGUGGGGCCUUCUUCACCUGCGGAAUUGCCCUGGGCUCUGGGCCCUGACUAACACUCCAGCAUAGGGGGCAGAGAGAGAGUCUGGUAACUGUCUCAUGAUGCAUUCUCCCUCCUACAGCCUCCCCAGCCUCCUGGACCAUCCCAAGUAACCACCUGUUUGAUCCUGAGACCUCUCCUCCCUCAAGCCCCUGCCCAGAACCCCCUUGGCACACUCCUAGGUCCUCAGAGGCCUCUCUAGCCUGCACCAGGGUUUCCCCACAGCAGGCUGCAUCAGUUGUGGCAAGGCCUCGAAGGAGCAGGCAUAGGUUGGCCAGCAGCAGCAGCUCAGAGGGGGAGGACAGUGCUGGGCCCCAAAUGCCAUCCCAGAAGAGGCCAAGGUGCUUUGCCCCAGCACAACGGGAUGAGGCCAGGACAGCUUGCCCUGCCAGCAUCAGGGAGGCGAGUACAGUGAGUGCUGGCCAGGCAGCCUAUCAGGCAGCCAUCCGAGGUGUGGGCAGUGCCCAGAGCCGCUGCCUCAGGCAGGGCCCUUGGGGCCCAGGUGAAGCCCCUACACCCCAGACAGCACUCAUUCCGGAGGAGGAAUACCUGGCUGGAGACUGGCUGGAAUUGGACACACCCCUGCCCCGCAGCCGCCCAUUCCGCCUGCCCCGCCCCCAGGGCAGUGGGGACAGCAACAGGCCCAGUACUGUAGGGCCAGACGAUGAGGAACACCCUGCCAGGCCCCGAACCCGGACCAGGCAGAGCCGCCUGACCUGUCUUGAGAGUUGCAGCACACUGGACAGAGCUGGAGGCAGCAGCUUGGCUGCAGAGCUCUCAGAGAAUCCCAAUGUGCUCAGGGUCCCUGGGGAAAGCCCUGCAACAGGCCAGCCCUCGGUGGGUGACAAGCUGGUAGCAGAGCUAACCCCCAGCUUGGGCAGGUGGAGAUGGAGGCCUCUGUCUUUCCUGACUGCCCUGUCCCCUGUUCCUCCUAUCAGGGUCUAGUACAGCCUCCUCCCAUCCGGAUUCGAGUUCAAGUUCAGGAUAACCUUUUCCUUGUCCCUGUCCCACACAGGUAUGGUGACAUCUACCCUCUCUGAACCCCAGUCCCCCCUGCCCACCAUGCAGCCCCUUGCCUGAACCCUCAGUGGUAGCACCGUACACAGUUCCUUUGUGAUGACUGCCUCGGUGGCGUGUCCCUACUGUUCCCUAGGGUCCCUGAGUGAAUGUGGCCUGGGCAGUCCUAUAGUCCCUAGGAGUCGUCUGAGGAGCAGGCUGCAGGGACAGAAGGCUGCUGUUCAGGGGAGGGGUGGGAAAGCCACCAGGAGAGAGGGCUGCAGGCCUCAGCAGUGUUGGCAGAGCCCUAGGCCACCUCCUGGAUGCAGCAGCCCACCCUCCCCCAACAGUGAGGCCCACUCUGUGGCUUGGCUGGCUGAGCAGGCCUCCCAGCGAUACUACCAGACCUGUGGGCUCCUGCCCAGACUCAGCCUGCGGAAGGAGGGCGCGUUGCUGGCCCCGCAGGACUCCAUCCCUGAUGUGCUGCAGAGCAACGAUGAGGUAAGCCACAGCCGUGGGCACAGACCACCCCCAGGAGCUGCCUCUCCAGGCUGCUCACCAAUGGAGCUC
rnacentral:lncRNA from 1 species